rnacentral:rRNA from 1 species
CUACGGGAGGCAGCAGUGGGGAAUAUUGGACAAUGGGGGAAACCCUGAUCCAGCAAUGCCGCGUGUGUGAAGAAGGCCUGCGGGUUGUAAAGCACUUUCGGUUGGGAGGACUGCUUCUAGCACUAAUAUUGUUGGAAGUUGACGUUACCUUCAGAAGAAGCACCGGCUAACUCCGUGCCAGCGAGCCGCGGUAAUAUGGAGGGUGCAAGCGUUAAUCGGAAUUACUGGGCGUAAAGCGCGCGUAGGCGGCUAGAUCAGUCGGGUGUGAAAGCCCCGGGCUUAACCUGGGAACUGCAUCCGAUACUGUCUAGCUUGAGUACAGGAGAGGAGAGUGGAAUUCCACAUGUAGCGGUGAAAUGCGUAGAUAUGUGGAGGAACACCAAUGGCGAAGGCAGCUCUCUGGCCUGAUACUGACGCUGAGGUGCGAAAGCGUGGGGAGCAAACAGGAUUAGAUACCCCGGUAGUC